rnacentral:rRNA from 1 species
CUUCAGCAUUCCGCCUGGGUGUACGCUCGCAAGAUUAAACCUCUAACGAAUUGACGCGGGCCCGCACAAGCGGUGGAGCAUGUGCUUUAAUUCGAAGCAACGCGCAGAACCUUACCAUCCUUUGACAUGGCGUGUUACCCAGAGAGAUUUGGGGUCCAGUUCGGUGGCGCGCACACAGGUGCUGCAUGGCUGUCGUCAGCUCGUGUCGUGAGAUGUUGGGUUAAGUCCCGCAACGAGCGCAACCCACGUCCUUAGUUGCCAUCAUUCAGUUGGGCACUCUAGGGAGACUGCCGGUGAUAAGCCGCGAGGAAGGUGUGGAUGACGUCAAGUCCUCAUGGCCCUUACGGGAUGGGCUACACACGUGCUACAAUGGCGGUGACAGUGGGACGCGAAGGAGCGAUCUGGAGCAAAUCCCCAAAAGCCGUCUCAGUUCGGAUUGCACUCUGCAACUCGAGUGCAUGAAGGCGGAAUCGCUAGUAAUCGUGGAUCAGCAUGCCACGGUGAUACGUUCC